rnacentral:tRNA from 1 species
GCCCGGGUGGCGGAAUUGGUAGACGCAAGGGACUUAAAAUCCCUCGUUGGGUAACCGACGUGCCGGUUCGACUCCGGCCCCGGGCACCA